rnacentral:rRNA from 1 species
UAAACCGACACCGGUAGAUGAGUAGAACAUACUAAGGGGGAUCGGGAGAACCUUCGUUAAGGAAUUAGGCAAAUUAGAUCCGUAACUUCGGGAAAAGGAUCGCCUUGGUAGGAUGAAGCGGGCUAGCCCCGCUGAGUCUGACGAGGCCGCAGAGAAAUGGCUCUAUCGACUGUUUACCAAAAACACAGGUCUGUGCCAAGUCGGAAGACGAAGUAUACAGGCUGACGCCUGCCCAGUGCCGGAAGGUUAAGGGGAGAGGUUAACGCUUUGAACCGAAGCCCCGGUGAACGGCGGCCGUAACUAUAACGGUCCUAAGGUAGCGAAAUUCCUUGUCGGGUAAGUUCCGACCCGCACGAAAGGCGUAACGAAUGGAGCACUGUCUCAACGAAGGACCCGGUGAAACUGAACUAGGAGUGAAGAUGCUCCUUACCCGCAGCAGGACAAAAGACCCCGUGGAGCUUUACUGUAGCUGUCAUUAGGGUUAGGAUGUAACUUGUGUAGGA